rnacentral:lncRNA from 1 species
ACAACGCUUAGGAGUAUUACCUGUAUUCCCCUCACCAGAGAAACUGAGGCUGAGAAGAGAGUACCCAAAUGCCCGUCACCUGCAAUGUGCGGUGCCGCCCCGACUCCCGUCCGCCAAGAGACAGAUGCGGUGGCUCAGGCACAGGACAAAGUGAGGAUGGGAAGGAAACCGCACUGGAGGAGCAACAGAACUGGAGAGGUGGCAAAGACAAGUUCAAGCUGGGAUGAGCCACGUGAGAACGUAUACCAAGUACCCCGCGGGUCGGGAUGUGGCGUUCCCAGCCUCAGUCAUUCUUGGAUUUUUCCUUAGAACCUAACUAAUAAUUGUUAGAGGAAAACCCAGAAUUUUCACUGAAACUGCAAAUAUUCUCCACA